AUGCCAGAGAUGACCCAGCCCAGCGAUGUGCUAACACCUCCUCCCACUGCCAGCACUUCCAUGGACGGCAAUGUAGUGGCCAUCAUCAUAGCUGCAACAGUUUCUUCAUCUGUGUUCGUAGUGGCGAUCUUGGUGCUGCUACUGCUCUUGUACCACCGGGACCCCCUGUGCUGCCAGUUCCUCUGCUCCUGCCGUUUCUUUCAGAGUCCGAGCCAAUAUGAUUGUCCUCCUCCAUACUUCAGCAGUAACCAGCGACUGGUGGGACCCCAAUCGGGAGCACAGCAAUUGGAGAGCCCUGCCGAGAAUCCUGGGGUGCAGGGAGAUGAACUAUUCUGCGUUGGACCCCCCAGCAGCUAUCAGCUCCCUCCCUGGGAGCAGCUGCGCUUGCCAAGCUACGAGAGCGUGCGGAAGAAGGAUCGGCAGCGGGAGAUCCAUCAGCUGAUUGCCGAGAGGUUUGGACUGUGGGUGGACCCCUCCCAGGAGAUGCCACCUCCCUAUGAGCAAGCCCUAAGGCAUCCUCCAGCUGUCUCAGGGACUGGAGCAGGGUCAGAGUUACCAGAUGGGCAUGGAUUGCUGGACGCAUUCCAGGCCUCCAUCAGCUACCAAACUCAAAGGAACACAGCUGUGUAGAACGGGAAUCAACCCUGGAACACCUCUCCUUCCUUCUGUGGCAAGGACAGCAGGGCCUGUGAGGUCUCUCCCUGCCGGCAGGGCGGAAUGGAACUUCAUGCCUUCGGCCAGUCACACAAACAGCUGAGAACCCCUUGUGCCAAUCACAGGCAAAGCAGUGUUGAUUUCCAUCAACUCACUCCCCUCCAAGAACGAAGGUGGAGUGAAGACCAGGAUCGAUUUAACAGCCAUCUCUCUCCCAGAAACAGUGGAAUAAACCUGAGGGGAUUUCUGCUCCA
rnacentral:lncRNA from 1 species